GAGGGGCAGCAGCUUUAUAGCAAUAUAGAGGCUGGCGACCGGCAAACGGGUGCGGAACACGUACACAACCUUCCUUGAAUAGGGGGAUAGCCCAUAGAAAUGUGGAUUAAUACCCCGUAAUAUAGCGGUGUGGCAUCACACUGUUAUUAUAGUUUCGGCGAUUCGAGAUGGGUGUGCGGCUGAUUAGGUAGUUGGCGGGGUAAAGGCCCACCAAGCCUUCGAUCAGUAGCUGAUGUGAGAGCAUGAUCAGCCACACGGGCACUGAGACACGGGCCCGACUCCUACGGGAGGCAGCAGUAAGGAAUAUUGGUCAAUGGACGCAAGUCUGAACCAGCCAUGCCGCGUGAAGGAUGAAGGUCCUCUAGAUUGUAAACUUCUUUUAUAGGGGGCGAAAAAAGGUCUUUCUAGAUCACUUGACAGUACCCUAUGAAUAAGCACCGGCUAACUCCGUGCCAGCAGCCGCGGUAAUACGGAGGGUGCAAGCGUUAUCCGGAUUCACUGGGUUUAAAGGGUGCGUAGGCGGGUAGGUAAGUCAGAGGUGAAAUCCUGGAGCUUAACUCCAGAACUGCCUUUGAUACUAUCUAUCUUGAAUAUGGUGGAGGUAAGCGGAAUAUGUCAUGUAGCGGUGAAAUGCAUAGAUAUGACAUAGAACACCUAUUGCGAAGGCAGCUUACUACGCCUAUAUUGACGCUGAGGCACGAAAGCGUGGGGAUCAAACAGGAUUAGAUACCCUGGUAGU
rnacentral:rRNA from 1 species